GGCCUCUUAGCUCAGUUGGCUACAGCGUUGGCUGUACUAAAGCCUUCUCCUUUCUGACGUGGGUUCGAAUCCCACCGAGGCCG
rnacentral:tRNA from 1 species